rnacentral:snoRNA from 1 species
AAUCCGUGUUGUGGGCACUUGCGAAGUAAACCUUUGUAUCGUUCCCAAGCCUCUAAAUAGCAUUAUGAGUCCAUUUGUUGAAAAGUAGUGAUCUCGUCCCUUAGCUU